rnacentral:rRNA from 1 species
AUGGCCGUCGACGACUCGUCGGAGACCGACCAGCUCGACUCCAUGUCCACGGAGGACAUUGUCCGGGCCACCCACCUCGUCGACAACGAGGUCUGCGUCCUCAAGGACGAGCUCCAGCGGAACAACCUGGAGCUCGAGAAUGUCAAGGACAAGAUCAAGGAGAACCAGGAGAAGAUCAAGCUCAACAAGCAGCUGCCCUACCUCGUCGGCAACAUCGUCUUCGUGCCUCACCUGCCCCGAAAUGAACCUGAAGAGGAUGGUGCUAAUAUAGAUCUGGACUCACAAAGGAAAGGAAAAUGUGUUGUUCUUAAGACAUCCACAAGACAGAACUUAUUCCUUCUUGUGAUUGGGCUUGUUGACCCUGACAACUUCAAGCCUGGUGAUUUGGUUGGAGUCAACAAGGACAGCUACUUGAUAUUAGACACGCUACCUUUGGGAUAUGACUCUCGAGUAAAGGCAAUGGAGGUAGAUGAAAAGCCUAAGGAGGAUUAUAAUGACAUUGGUGGCCUUGAGAAAGAGAUUUAG